GCUGGCCCCGCCCACACACAGCUUGCACACACUUCAGCCCUCCCAUCCACACACGUCUGGGGUGCAGAGCGCAGCCAGGCCCGCCAAGCAUGAGGCAGGGUUGAAUUCUGCCCCCACACCAAGACGCAAAAGAGGGAGAGUCAGGCAUAGAGGCCCCUCCCAGCUCCUCCCUCACCUCCCCCAGUCUGCCGCAGCCUCAGCCUCCCCAGGGUCAGCAUCAAAGAUUCAUCAAAGCUGAAGCCCAGCAAAGUGUGCGCUUCACAUCUCUAAAUGUGCUUCUUCCCAAUGAAAAAUUCAGUGGGAAAACGCAGGGAGUUAAAGGCAGGGAAACAGGUUGGGAAAGGAAGCAGGGAGGGAAGGAAAAGAAAAGAGACCUACCUCUGAAUUGUGGUUCUGCUGAAUUCGCCCACAUUUAUGGAGCAUCUGCCUCAAGUAGGACCUUGAGCCUGACACCAAGGCAGGGCUGUAAAAUACAGUUGCCCAGGCUGUGCACUGCACAACUCCAGAAGAUUCAUUCCCAGAGACAACAGAGGUGGUUCUGCAGAGGAAGCAGGCUGGCUCCCACCCAGAUGGUGUGGGAGUCAGGAGGCCUGGCUUCUGCUCAUCUAACAUUCUGAGUCUUAGAUUUCUCAUGUCCAAACAGGGGUUUACAGUACUCACACUUCUCAUCUCCCAGUGUCUCAAGGAAGACUCACAGGGUGUUAAUUGAUGUGAUAAAAAGAGAGAAAGCAGAUAACUCCUCCCACAGAAAAGCCCAAACACUGGAUUCAGGAAUAAAGAGGAAGAGGGAACUGCUUCCAGGUGGGGAGACUGGAGAAGAGAGCACUCCCAUCCUUACCCUACACCCCCAUUUUGAAACAGCCUUGGGUUACUGUGCUGCAUGGAUGCGAGCCUCCCUGGAGUGAGGCUGCACUUCCUCCUGGCUGAAGACUGAGCUCAGCAGGACUCCAGCCCCACCCUUCAGAUAAGCCAGGAACACCCACACCUGGAGCUGCCCCUGAGCCAGCAAGCAGCCUCACAGCCCUGGUGUCAUUGGCUGAGACCCAGGAACCCUCAGGGAGAGCAGCUGCUCACCACAUACCACACAUCCUGCACACCAGCAUCCCUAGUCAGACUGAACCAAAAGCUCCACACAGGGGAUCACCGCCUACCAGCUCAUAAUCUGAUUCUCCAGCCACCGCACCCACCACCCUCCUUAGUGUGUCUUCUCAGUCCUGGACGCAGGCCAGUGUCUCCACCCUCCAACUCAUCCAAGACCUAACUGAUACCUUACGACAAUUUUACUGAAGGUGGAAACUAAUUGCAACUGCUACCAGAUGUUUUUGGUCUUAAAGCUCAUAGUCAAAAUCUGACCUAGAGUCUGCCCAGCUCCUAGCAGGAUUCCAGGUAGGGGGAACAGUCCUAGGAGUCUCCAGGAGUCUGCACACCUCAAAGACCACUCAUUUUGGCCCCAGAGAGAGAGAAGAAAAUCCGCCUCUCCCCAGUGCAAAGCCUGUGUCCUUUAUGGCCUCGGGACACACCUCUCCUUUUGGACAGCUCUGAGCCACACACAUGUGGCCUGAACAGCAGGGCCCAGAUGUGACAAUCAGAAGGACUCUAAAAUACAGCACAAAUGAAUGUAUCUGAGGAAACAAAAACACAACAGACUUGUGGUUGCCUGGGGGAGGGAAGGAUUGGGAGUUUGGGAUUAUCAGAUGCAAACAUACACAGGAUGGGUGCUGCUGUGCAGCGCGGGGAACCAUUCAGGAUCUUUAAUAAACCAUAAUGGAAAAGAAAAAAAAAGAAUGACUUCCCGUUUUCGGAAUAACUCUGUUGGGUGAGGGAAGCUCAACAGUAACUCAUGCCCAGUUCCACGCACAGUCACCCCGCCCCCAAGAAGAUCUGUAGGUUUGGGGGAACGCAGCUCCCACACCUAGUGAUGCCUGGUUCUUGGCUCCAGAUAUCUCGGGAGAAAACGUAAGAGAAGAGGACAGGAACAAGCCACUGUGAGAAUAUCGUAAAUCCAGGUGUUGGAUGGGGAGUGGGGUGUAGGCAGGAUCCUAACUGCACGGGACCAGACUCUCCUAACGUACCAGGUACAAGCCAGAACCUUGCAGGCUGCAGAUGCUGAUGCUGGUACACUUCACCCAUGUUUCAGAGAUUCCCCAAGAAAAAUGGACAGGCACUUGCUGCCCUGAUGAAGAGGUCACUCCCAGAACUGUCCAAGAGAUGAAUUCCAGUCUUACACUACACUGCUUCAAACGUUCACAAGCCCCCAGAGGAGUUUUUCCAGCUCCAACUUUAUUUUAAAAUCCAGGCUCUACCUACCGGGUACCCCAUUAUAAACAUGGAGAAUUGAGAAACCCCUCAUCAAAAGUAGGGAGGGAAGAGGCAGUCCACCAAAAUUCUUUUGUUCUUCAUCAUCUAGCUUUUUUCCAUCUGGGAUUCUCCUCUGGAUCCCAAUCUAUCCAUCACCAAUCAUCUAACUAUAUGUCUCUAUAUCAUCUAUCUGCUUACCUACCUACCAAUCUACUACCCCAUGCCAAUCUUAGCUGAAAUGGCCACAUUUUUCAUCAGAGAAUUUGCAGGUGCUCUCUGUAGUUGCUCACAGGCUAGUCCUUCAAUUCCGAGUCUCUACCCUGCUGAUUCCGACAGCAUUAACCCCUUCUCUUCUGAUCACUUCCAGACUUUAGUCAAUAUCCCAAACUAGGAUCAUUUGCUUUCCUUCAAAGUGUGCCUUCUGCAAAAUGUUUAUUUCUUUCUUUUUAUUUGCAUCACUUUCUUUAAUUUAGGAUUUUUUAUUUUUAAAAAUUUGAAAACUACAGGAAAAAGCCAUAGAUAACUACUCUUGGUAUCUAUUCUUAGGAAAAAAAUAGUAUCCUGUUACCAACACUCAGAAUUAAAAACACUGUUAACUUCUUGGUAUGGUUAUGUUCAGGGG
ensembl:lncRNA